rnacentral:lncRNA from 1 species
UCCUCUAUCUCUGGUUGGCUUAUAUUUGUGGAGGCAUAUUCAGUGCUUCGAGAACUAGACAGAGAAGAAAGGUACCGGAGAUUGAAAUAUAGCCGGGAAUUUGCUACUGAAAUCCAAGAAAACCAUAAAAAAUGCAAGAACAAUCUUGACAGACUACUAUAGAUUUUGGUUGAUUGUGAUUUUCUUCAUCAGCUAUUCGUUGGUUUUCAUGGAACGGUUUUAGUAAUGAGAGAAAUUGGGAGGGGUAUAUGGCAUGAGAGAAGAAUUCAGUGAUGAAAGAAUGAAAAUACUUAUAAGAGGUAAAUCCAGAGAAAUCGGAGGAAAUUAAAAGGAGCACCCCUAGCAUUUUUU